rnacentral:rRNA from 1 species
CGGGAGGCAGCAGUGGGGAAUAUUGCACAAUGGGCGCAAGCCUGAUGCAGCCAUGCCGCGUGUGUGAAGAAGGCCUUCGGGUUGUAAAGCACUUUCAGUCGUGAGGAAGGUGGUGGUGUUAAUAGCACUAUCAUUUGACGUUAGCGACAGAAGAAGCACCGGCUAACUCCGUGCCAGCAGCCGCGGUAAUACGGAGGGUGCGAGCGUUAAUCGGAAUUACUGGGCGUAAAGCGCAUGCAGGUGGUUUGUUAAGUCAGAUGUGAAAGCCCGGGGCUCAACCUCGGAAUUGCAUUUGAAACUGGCAGACUAGAGUACUGUAGAGGGGGGUAGAAUUUCAGGUGUAGCGGUGAAAUGCGUAGAGAUCUGAAGGAAUACCGGUGGCGAAGGCGGCCCCCUGGACAGAUACUGACACUCA